rnacentral:lncRNA from 1 species
AAAAAUAAAAUAGCUUAAAAAGUAAUAAAAUGCCUGUUAUGAAUUCUAAUACUGUUAUGCUGUUAUGCGCUUAUACAUGCUAUAUGUCAGGUCAUAAGUUUCGUAGAAAGCAUUAUACAUCAUCAAUACACCAAUUUGAUUUGUGAUGAGAUUUGUGCAAAUGUGAUUAGGAGAUAAUGUUCAUAUGACAAUGUUAACAUAUACUAUAUAUGAUAUAGGAUCCUUAUUGUGAAUUUUGUAUUGCACCAUCAAUUGAAAUUUGGUUUA